rnacentral:SRP_RNA from 1 species
GCCGGGCGUGGUGGCGCACGUCUUUAAUCCCAGCACUUGGGAGGCAGAGGCAGGCAGAUUUCUGAGUUCGAGGCCAGCCUGGUCUACAAAGUGAGUUCCAGGACAGUCAGGACUACACAGAGAAACCCUGUCUCGAAAAACAAAACACAAAACAAAACAAAAAACCAAAUGAAUCUUUUUGUUUGUUCUUUUGAGACAGGGUUUCUCUGUGUAGCUCUGACUGUCCUGGAACUCACUCUGUAGAGCAGGCUGGUCUCAAACUCACAGAGAUUCUCCUGCCUCU